rnacentral:rRNA from 1 species
AACGAGAAUCUACUGAAAGAGUUUUCGGACAAUGGAUGUAGAGGAAAGUGGCGGACGGGUGAGUAACGCGUGAGGAACCUGCCUUGAAGAGGGGGACAACAGUUGGAAACGACUGCUAAUACCGCAUGAUGCAUAGGGGUCGCAUGAUCUUUAUGCCAAAGAUUUAUCGCUUCAAGAUGGCCUCGCGUCUGAUUAGCUAGUUGGCGGGGUAACGGCCCACCAAGGCGACGAUCAGUAGCCGGACUGAGAGGUUGAACGGCCACAUUGGGACUGAGAUACGGCCCAGACUCCUACGGGAGGCAGCAGUGGGGAAUAUUGGGCAAUGGGCGCAAGCCUGACCCAGCAACGCCGCGUGAAGGAAGAAGGCUUUCGGGUUGUAAACUUCUUUUAAGAGGGAAGAGCAGAAGACGGUACCUCUAGAAUAAGCCACGGCUAACUACGUGCCAGCAGCCGCGGUAAUACGUAGGUGGCAAGCGUUGUCCGGAUUUACUGGGUGUAAAGGGCGUGCAGCCGGGUCUGCAAGUCAGAUGUGAAAUCCAUGGGCUCAACCCAUGAACUGCAUUUGAAACUGUAGAUCUUGAGUGUCGGAGGGGCAAUCGGAAUUCCUAGUGUAGCGGUGAAAUGCGUAGAUAUUAGGAGGGACACCAGUGGCGAAGGCGGAUUGCUGGACGAUAACUGACGGUGAGGCGCGAAAGUGUGGGGAGCAAACAGGAUUAGAUACCCUGGUAGUCCACACUGUAAACGAUGAAUACUAGGUGUGCGGGGACUGACCCCC